GGGGACCCGCAAGCGGUGGAUGAUGUGGAUUAAUUCGAUGCAACGCGAAAAACCUUACCUACCCUUGACAUGUACGGAAGGCCGGAGAGAUUUGGCUGUGCUCGAAAGAGAACCGUAACACAGGUGCUGCAUGGCUGUCGUCAGCUCGUGUCGUGAGAUGUUGGGUUAAGUCCCGCAACGAGCGCAACCCUUGUCAUUAGUUGCUACGAAAGGGCACUCUAAUGAGACUGCCGGUGACAAACCGGAGGAAGGUGGGGAUGACGUCAAGUCCUCAUGGCCCUUAUGGGUAGGGCUUCACACGUCAUACAAUGGUACAUACAGAGGGCCGCCAACCCGCGAGGGGGAGCUAAUCCCAGAAAGUGUAUCGUAGUCCGGAUUGUAGUCUGCAACUCGACUACAUGAAGUUGGAAUCGCUAGUAAUCGCGGAUCAGCAUGUCGCGGUGAAUACGUUCCCGGGUCUUGUACACACC
rnacentral:rRNA from 1 species